GCACUAUCCUUAGAGGAUUGUUUUCAAUCUACUCAAUAUUAUUAUUAUCUGUCUGUAAUUCUAGAUGUGUUUGUAAGAAGUUAAAAAAUGACGAUCUCAUUCUCUAGUUUAGAUCACCCAUAAUAAAAUUCACACAUCUUAAUGACUGAACCAUAUAUAACAGAAAUUUUGGGGGAUAAAUAUAUAUUUUCAGAUUAACAACAGUUUUCAAAAGGACUCUUUUUUUGGGGGAGUCUAAAAGUAUACACCUGCUGUUCAACAUGGCUGACAACGAAAAGAAAUCAACUUCAUUCAUACAAUUUAAGUAUUGUGGUCUUUGCAAAAUUAGUCAUAAACAUAAGAAUAAGAAACACGUGUAUUCAUCAAGACACCAAGAAAUUAUUAAAGGCAUACUUCUGAAAUUGAAGAAACGGAUUGAUGAGGCCAAAGCAUUUCUUAAAAAUCCUCAAGUAAUGAAUUUAGGAUGGGAAAAAGAAGCCAGUGUAUGGUGUUAUUUUUGUGGCAAGUCUAUAAAUAAACAUACUUCUCACGAUGAAUAUAUCGUAACCUGUGGUCAGUUCUUACAACAUUUGACAUUACAAGAACAUGUUCAAAAGAUGAAUGAUUUCUUCUGGGAAAAUAUCAUUGAUAAAAAAAAAAAGUCUCACUAUGUCAUUACUGACAAGGAAUUGAAAAAAUUUCAGCAGAAGCUAGAAGAAGCUGUGGACAAGUUUAAAAUAGAACAGAAGAGUCACUUAUUAAAGGUUGCUGAGAAAUUGAAGCAAAAAGAAUUACGACAAAAUUAUUUAUCUCAUCAGUACCAGACACAAUACCAAUAUGAUAAGGUGUGUGCUGGUUGACCAAAUACCAAUAAGACAAAUAAAUCCACAGACUUCUGCCUCUGAUGAUGAUAAUAGAGAUGUGGAAAGGCUCAUCAAUGCACCCAGAACCAACAGUUUUGGUUUGACAAUUAUUCAACGUCCAAAGGGAAAUAAAGAAAAGGGAAAUAUAUUUACCGGUGCUGCUCCCCCUUGGUUACAACAUUCUACAGAUGAUAUAAAUAGGCAAGACAUAGGUCCUACAUUAUCAGAUUAUGAAAAACAUUUGAAAUUGGAGAAGAAGAAAAAAUUACCAGAAAACCGAGUGGGAGCUAAUUUUAAUCGUCAUUCUGUGGCAUCUGCAUCAUGGCUGCCAUCAUUUGGUGGUGUUUGGAGUCAUCAAAGGCGUUUAAAUAAUAAGAAUCAAUUUCAGAGAAAAAUGAAUUAUGGAAGUGAUAAAAUAUUGGACAGUAUUGAAACAAUCGAUCCGCAAAAAAUUAAACCAUAUGUUCGAAAAAGAUCAGCAACAGUAACUAGCGGAAUAGACUCGUCUUUAUCAUUAACAACAACUUCAUUUAAUGAGACAUUAACUAACACUGUCAAUGAUACGGUGCCAAAUAAUUCACAACCUAAUUCAACUUUUACAAGUGUCAAGAGAUCUAGUGAAAUACCUCAGACAAUUAUACCAUACAAAAGGACAAAGAAGGAUACUGAAUCAAAAUUAAUAGAUCAAUAUGAGUGCCAUCCAGUGUCCAGUCCAACAACAAAGGGAAAUAACUCUGUUAUAACACUCCCUUUGGCAUGUGUAGAAAAAACAAACUUUCUUCCAAAUUAUAGUUUACCGGUGCAUCCAAAAAUAUCAAAAUCAUCUCAAUAUAAUCCGUACAAUAUCAAAUUACCAUUUACAUAGUAAAUUCUACCGUUUUCUACACCUUGUGUUAAAAAUUCCAUUUCGUUUCUAGUUCAAUUACUUUUAAAUGUUACAAAUUAAUUUAAACAUAAUUUUUUGACACUAUCUAAAGGAUCAGAUGCACGUAUCACAACCAUAGGGUAGCCUUUUUCUUGUUACUUGUGCUCUCACUGGAAGGAUUAAAUUUUCAUCAUUCUUUGAAUACAUAGUUUGAAAUUGAUAUGGAUAUAGAUAAUCUCCUUUACAAACAGAUGUGCUUAUAAAUGCCUAUAAAUAAUAAUAAUGUGCCAAAUUUGAAAUCAUUUCCCAUAUUUAUAUUGUAGAGGUUAUAUUUGAUUCCGGCAUACUUUGUGUGUGUUUGUGAAAUGAAACUUGAAAAGUGGGUCUUCGGAAAUACCUUUUAUACAAAUAAAAUAAAUGCUUUUAUU